CCUCCUUUUCUUGGCAGGGAUUCCCGAUCCAUGUAAUGUACGGAGGUAGAAGGAAUGGGCUCUGGCCUCCUGGCGUCAUAUCUUCAGUACCAGCAGCUUCCGGUCCGCUGGUUCUAUCUUCAAGUGCCGGGAACAGA
ensembl:snoRNA